CCGGCGCACGGGUGAGUAACACGUAUGGAACCUGCCCUAUGCAGGGGGAUAAGCGGAAGAAAUUCCGUCUAAUACCGCAUAACACCUUUAGGAGACAUCUUCUUGGGGUCAAAGGAGGCGACUCCGGCAUAGGAUGGCCAUGCGUCGCAUUAGCUAGUCGGCGGGGUGACGGCCCACCGAGGCGACGAUGCGUAGGGGUUCUGAGAGGAAGGUCCCCCACACUGGUACUGAGACACGGACCAGACUCCUACGGGAGGCAGCAG
rnacentral:rRNA from 1 species